rnacentral:lncRNA from 1 species
UUUUUUUUUUUUUUUGCCUUUUAGCCAAUUUUUGUUCAGCUUUCAUGUUAAUUAAAAAAUAAGCCUAUGCUCUCUCCCGCUGCCCAGGCCCCAAAUGCCAGCAGGUGCGUCCCCACCUCCCUGGGGGGUUUAGAGCCUGGGACAGGGAUGUGACCGGCCCACACAGGCGGUCCUGAGAAGAGGGACGGCCGCCGGAGCUUCCGGACACGAAGCCCAGGGGACGAGCAGAGCGCGGCGCUGUUUCCAGCCCCCGGUGAGCAGCAGGCCCUGGGGGGAGCGCGGGCAGGGCAGUUAUUCGAGAACACGGCUGGAAGGAACAAAGCCUGCGGGACAGUGCCGACCACUGUCCCCACCACACGGACCGCGAUGCUGCGGGAUAAUCGCUCAAGACACGUACCGAGGGAACAUUCGCCUCAAAUUAACCUUCCGCGGGCACAAUUCAGUGGCAUUGGCUUUUUGGUAUUUUGGUUUGUUUUGCUUUCUAGGGCCGCACCUGCGGCAUAUGGACGUUCCCAGGCCACGGGUCGAACUGGAACUACAGCUGCUGGCCUCCACCACCGUCCCAGCCACGCAGGAUCCGAGCCGCAUCUGUGACCCACACCACAGCUCACGGCAACGCCAGAGCCUUGACCCCCUGAGCGGGGACCGGGAUCGAACCUGCAUCCUCUUGGAUGCCCGUCAGAUUCGCUUCCCCCGAGCCCGCCGGGAGUGUCUGUCGUUGCAGCCUCUGCAUUUCUAAUGCACGUCACCAAAGGCAUCGUCACCUUCCACAAAUUUCCUGGCCAAUGUGUAUCUUUUUUGGAGCAAUGACCCAUUUUUUAAUUGAAUCAUGUGACAUUCUGCUGUGAGCUCUGAGAGUUUUAAUAUGCUCUGGAUGCCAGGCCCUUGUCAGAUGGACGGUUUGCAAAUAUUUCCCCCCGUUCUGGAGGCUGUCUUUUCACUUCCUUAACAGUGUCUCCUCGGAUGCCCAGAAGGUUUUCAGUUUUUUUCUAGGGCUGCACCUGCAGCCGUAUGAAGUUCCAGGCUAGGAGGUGAAUUGGAGCUGCAGUUGCAGGCCUAGGCUGCACCAGAUCCUUAACCAAUGAGCGAGGCCAGGGAUGGAACCCACAGCCUCAUGGACCCUAUGUCAGCUUUCUAACCCGCUGAGCUACAAUGGGAAUUCCUUUUUUUUUCCUUGAAGUUUUCAAUUUUGAUGAAGCCCAGUUUAUCUACUUUUUCCUGUGUCGCAUCCACUUUUGACAUAGCCAGAGAUCCACUGCCAAACUGUCAGGAAGAAACCAAGCACUUUCAAAAUAGAAAAAUGCCACGGAAGAAAUUUAAGACCAGACCAGAGCCUGUGUAGUGCGAUGGGUGAGGGGCCUGGAGGUCAGCAUCCGUCCUCAGAAAAAGGCACAUGGCACCACGGGUCAGUCCCACGCUGCCCCCAGAUUGUGGGGUUUGCACGCCAACCACCGAGUCCCCAAAUCUCCCAGCGCCAGAGGACGAUCCUGAUGCCAUCCAGCCCUGCCACGAACUACCCGGAGGGGGAGGCAUCCAGCCGCUGUCCCCGACGUCAGAGCAGCUGUGGGCCCAGACCUCCCGCACCUUCCGCGGGCCAGCUGUGAACUGGCCCCUGACCCUUCCUUGGAUUCUAUCUGGGAGCCACCGAGAGUCACUUCAUCAGCAACAAAUAGUCAAUGGGAUCAAAGGAGAAGAAAGCACGGGACCCAAAGAGAAAUCCUGGAGCUGAAGUAGUGUGACAGCAGAAAUGAAAAUGCCCCUGCAGAGUUUGUGGCCGCUGGGCCAGGCAGGAGAGCAGGCCGAGAACUGGAAGGCGGGAGGGCAGUGCUGACACCAACUGGGAGUGGACGACGCCAUUCAAGGCUGACACUCGCUAACUGGAAACAGCAUCAGACCCGCAAGCUAGAGAGCCAGGUCUCCAGAAAGGCUGCAGUGCAGGUGCCAGCCGCAGACAGCCGAUGAGCACGUCAAAAGGUACCCAACAGUCUCAGCCAUUUAGAAACACAAAUUAAAACCACAAGGAGAGAUCACCUGACAACCUAUCACGACGGCUGCAACCGGAAAGUAACCGUUUUAAAAGUGAGUGUCGGUGAGGGGAUGCAGCCAGGGGCACCGGCUGUGCCCUGCUGCCGAGGAUGUAAACGGUGCAGCCACUGUGAAAACCCGGUUGGCAGCUCCCAACAAAGCUGAACGGAGAAGCCGCCUCUCAGCCGGCAGUUCUGCCUCUAGGCUAUUCCCCAAAGACUUAAAAGCAGGGACUCAAAGAGAUACUGUAAGCGAGAACCAUGAGUGAGUGACGGACCUUUAGAGGUCCUGCUCAGCCUCGGGUCAGCACUGGGGUGAGCCUUGCCCCCAAGCAAGUGACAGAGAGUGACCUUUGGCCCCUUCCCCCUCUCCUUUCUCAGUAUGAAAGGAGCCUGAAUUGGGACUGAGGCAAGAUGGUUUUUGAGACACGAGUCUGCUAGCUUCUCAGCCUGCUAGCUUUCUGAUCAAAGUCGUUAUUCCUGCCUGAACGAUGCUCUCUGAAUGCAUCGGCCUGUUGUGCGGCGAGCAGAGCGAACUUGGCUUUCGUAACACUUUUUGGAGAGCAGUCAGGAGCCUGGCUGGGGCAAUUUUCUGGUACGUUCCUAGCAGCUGCCAGGACCACUCGUCCUGAGGCUCUUGCCCUCGAAACGCCCUCAAGUGGCACCGGCCGCCCCCGUGCCUGGCAGCUGGAGCAAGGAGUUGACAUGUGGGAGCCAGCGGGCUCCACGCGGUCGGGUAGGCCGCUCUGGUGUGUGUCACCGGGAACACGCGCCUCUCAAUGUGGGCUCUUUCUUUAGGGAAAAGCCAGUUUGUCCUGCAUCUGACCGCAGUACCGUGUGACAGAGGGGAACUCCUGGUGGCUUCUACCCGAUGUGAUCUGCGAACCGGUUCAUUUGCUUUUGUUCUGCUUUCAUCCACGACGGAAUCUGCUCGCUUUGGGACUGGAAUUUGCGCUUUUUGUGCUUGGUGCUUCUUCAACUUAUAAAUACGGGAACGCCUCCAUCUGUCCCUAAGGAAGGCCCUUCGGGGCGUAUCUUAAACAGCUGGGCAGCAAUGUAUACAUCUAAGGAUGACCUGACCCCCUUGCGGUACAGUGGGAAAAUAAAAAAAAAAUAAAAAAAAAAAAACACCUGGGCAAAAGAGAGCUGCGGCCUGGGACUAGGAAAGAGACGGUCGGCUACUGCCGCGGCGUGUGGUCCCACAGGGCUUAGGAUCUGGAGAGCAGUGGCCCCUGAGUGGCUCGCUUACACAAUCCCGCAGUUAGAAUGGUUUUGAGAAAGCGCAGGUGAAAAAGGUGACAUUGCAGACGUAGAAGCAUUUACGUUAUUGCAUCAGGAGGAAAAGGAGUCAGACGGCUGCCGCCUUGUCUGAGGGCAAAACCGAGGGAGAACCGGCUCCACGAGCGGGGGCGGGAGUAAGUGCCAGCGGGGGCCUGCCGGCUCAAGCCUUGAACCCCUCCAGCCAGCCCCACUCGCCCUGUCGCUGAGUGAGCUCCCCUGCCAGGAGUGUUUUUACCCUCUCCUGUCUCCCCUCCUUAGGGGGGAUCAACUAGAAGGUUCUAUUGAACCCCCGGAGCGCAGGGAGCCUGGUUUGGUGUCACCAUCUAAGACCCCACAGGGCACCCAAGUUGGACCCGGAGCCACGUCUGCAGCAGGACAGUCUCCCUUGUGCCACCGACCCGCAGGAGGCCUUAAUGCAAACAGCCAGCUGCGGGGUUUCUAUGGCACACAGGCCAUUCUCGACUUCUGACUGGUUUAACUGGAAAAAGCUAAAUCGUCCUACUUGCCGAGAGGCCCCCCUUCACCUGGCGGACCUUUUCACAUCCAGCCCUGCCACCCGCCAUCCCUCCCGGGCAGCCGUUCACACUCGUAGAACACGACGCUGGCUGGGACGACCUGAGGAUGGUGCUGACAAGGCCAGAGAGGAGGCCCCGGCGGAAGAGCCCGGAAGCAAGUGUGGCGGCUGCCACUGCGGAGCCGGACUGGGGUCCCCUGAUGGGGAUACGCCCCCCCCCCCGCCCUGGCACUACGGCUGGGCGUCUCGGUGGGUCUGCCAAGGGGGCUGCCUGGGCAAGGAGCUGAGACAAAGUCCAGGAGAUGCACCAGAACCCAAUGAGGACCCAUCCGAGUUGGCAGGAGGAAUCUAUCCAGCUUAUGGGCACUACACUGCUGCAGACCCCGAGGCCCCCGAAAAUACGAGAAUGGAAACAGAGCGCCCCAGAUGUAAGAGGGGAAUGACAACAGUAAGAGGGUGCUCGCCAAGUGUUCAGCCACAGGGACCAACGGCAGAAGCCAGAGGCUGUGAGAUGAGGCUGCCUUCUGGCAGCAGCACUGGUUUCCCCGAAGCCAAGGCACCUAGUAAGCGAGGGAGCCACCCGGGCCUGGGGAGCAGAGCGCCCGAGGCUGGAGAGUAGGACAAAACCGCUAAAACAAAGGCGGGAGCCUCUGCUGGGAGAGCAAGAGAAGCCUCUGAUGAGGAACGGAGAGGCCCAGGGGCUCCCUUGGACUUGAGGCGCCCAAUUCCAACAUCCCCACCGGAGCCCAGGUGACUCCGACGGGGGGGGCCCGUGGACAGGCUUUCUGAUAGAUACGCGUGCGACACACCCUGUGGUAAACACCCGGGUGGCACAGGAAACACCCCAUCCAUCCCAGUUUCGGGAGUUUCUGGAGAAGGACCAGUUGCUCUUUCUUACAACGGCUAGAACGCCGAUGAGGGGACCUCGCCCUGAAACCCAGUUGCGUACACGCGCCAGCGCGUCCGAUCCAUCGUCUGGGCCGCGAUCUUCUUUGUAAAUUAAAUGCUCAAGUCACUAUUUUGCCAGAAGGGCUUGUCAUCAGAGUCCCACCGGAGCGCGCCGUGAGCCUACACAUGGCACUCGCGGAUGCCCCAGCAAAGGAGGCAGCGCCCCUUCUCCCAGAGGCCUGCGAAGAGGUGAGGCCGGAAGCAUGGGCUGAAGGCACCCAGGGCGGCCCAGAACGCCUGGCUGAUACAAAUGCCGUCAUAAAGGGAUGCUGAGACACCUCAUCUAAAACAGUGCCCUCUGAGGCAAGAGGCCAAAAGGGAGCUCAGCCAAUUCUCGAAAAGUUUUUUUGUUUUGUUUUGUUUUGUUUUUGUCUUUUUAGGGCUGCACCUGAGGAAUAUGGAGGUUCCCAGGCCAGGGGUUGAACUGGAGCUACAGCUGC